rnacentral:rRNA from 1 species
AUACGGAGGGUGCGAGCGUUAAUCGGAAUUACUGGGCGUAAAGCGCGCGUAGGCGGUUUGGUCAGUCAGAUGUGAAAGCCCUGGGCUCAACCUGGGAACUGCAUUUGAUACUGCCAGGCUAGAGUAUGGUAGAGGGAAGUGGAAUUCCGGGUGUAGCGGUGAAAUGCGUAGAUAUCCGGAGGAACACCAGUGGCGAAGGCGACUUCCUGGACCAAUACUGACGCUGAGGUGCGAAAGCGUGGGGAGCAAACGGGAUUAGAAACCCCAGUAGUCC